UCCCCUUUUACUUUCUCAAUAAAUUCAGUUUCCCUCAAAAGACUGUUAUUAAAUUUCCAUGUACCCUCCCCUCUUAUCUGACUAGAAAACCUUAAAUUAAUCAAUACAGGAGAAUGAUCCGAUCUAUAACUUAUCCCUAUAUCUGAUGAAACUACAAAUGCUUCUAUAUCCGAGGUAAUCAUGAAGUAGUCCAAACGACUUUGUUUGUGAUUUGGACCCCGCCAUGAGCACCUCUUAUCAAAAGGGUGCUGAUGGCGCCAUAUAUCUAAUAAAUCUAGUUCA
rnacentral:lncRNA from 1 species